GGAAGGGCUGUAGGUCAAUAGUAGAGCAUCUGCUUUGCAUGCAGAAGGUGUCAGGAUCAAUUCCUGGGCGCCUCCA